AGCAGCCGCGGUAAUUCCAGCUCCAAUAGCGUAUAUUAAAGUUGUUGUGGUUAAAAAGCUCGUAGUUGAACCUUGGGCCUGGCUGGCCGGUCCGCCUCACCGCGUGCACUGGUCCGGCCGGGCCUUUCCCUCUGUGGAACCCCAUGCCCUUCACUGGGUGUGGCGGGGAAACAGGACUUUUACUUUGAAAAAAUUAGAGUGCUCCAGGCAGGCCUAUGCUCGAAUACAUUAGCAUGGAAUAAUGAAAUAGGACGUGUGGUUCUAUUUUGUUGGUUUCUAGGACCGCCGUAAUGAUUAAUAGGGACAGUCGGGGGCAUCAGUAUUCAAUUGUCAGAGGUGAAAUUCUUGGAUUUAUUGAAGACUGACUACUGCGAAAGCAUUUGCCAAGGAUGUUUUCAUUAAUCAAGAACGAAAGUUAGGGGAUCGAAGACGAUCAGAUACCGUCGUAGUCUUAACCAUAAACUAUGUCGACUAGGGAUCGGAUGAUGUUAAUUUUAUAAUGACUCA
rnacentral:rRNA from 1 species